UACGUAGGGUGCAAGCGUUGUCCGGAAUUAUUGGGCGUAAAGAGCUUGUAGGCGGUUUGUCGCGUCUGCUGUGAAAUUUCGGGGCUCAACCCCGAACUUGCAGUGGGUACGGGCAGACUAGAGUUCGGUAGGGGAGUCUGGAAUUCCUGGUGUAGCGGUGAAAUGCGCAGAUAUCAGGAGGAACACCGAUGGCGAAGGCAGCUCGCUGGGACGGUACUGACGCUGAGGCGCGAAAGCGUGGGGAGCAAACAGG
rnacentral:rRNA from 1 species